AUUGAACGCUGGCGGCAGGCCUAACACAUGCAAGUCGAACGGCAGCACAGAAGAGCUUGCUCUUUGGGUGGCGAGUGGCGGACGGGUGAGUAAUGUCUGGGAAACUGCCCGAUGGAGGGGGAUAACUACCGGAAACGGUAGCUAAUACCGCAUAACGUCGCGAGACCAAAGUGGGGGACGUUCGGGCCUCACACCAUCGGAUGCGACCAGAUGGGAUUAGCUAGUAGGUGGGGUAAUGGCUCACCUAGGCGACGAUCCCUAGCUGGUCUGAGAGGAUGACCAGCCACACUGGAACUGAGACACGGUCCAGACUCCUACGGGAGGCAGCAGUGGGGAAUAUUGCACAAUGGGCGCAAGCCUGAUGCAGCCAUGCCGCGUGUAUGAAGAAGGCCUUCGGGUUGUAAAGUACUUUCAGCGGGGAGGAAGGCGGUGAGGUUAAUAACCUUGCCGAUUGACGUUACCCGCAGAAGAAGCACCGGCUAACUCCGUGCCAGCCGCCGCGGUAA
rnacentral:rRNA from 1 species